UGGAGAAUUGCACCAAAUCCAAUAGAGGCAGCAAAGAUAUUCAGAGAAGACAUCUGAAAUCAACAUUCAGCUGGAAAACCAUCAAGUCUGACCAUGGAUCUUGGAGAAGGCGAAGAGGACAGAGAGAGAGAGAGCAAUCCUUUCUUUUUACAAGAUGGCAAAUGUUGAGUGGGCCAGAGCCUUGACAUGCACACUUAAAGGAGAUCCAGCUGUUGGUGAUGGUGUGACUCGCCAUUUCUUUGCAACCAUAAUGUCCAAACUUCAGUGUGGUUUUGAGAUCAAUUUUGCCCCAGGAGGAACUCUUCUUCUUUGAGGGUGAACAAGAUCAUCUGAUUCCCUCCACCUCCCAUUACCUUUUGGAGAGUGACUUAGUUGUUGUCGCUGGCCGAAUGAUUGGUCAUUCAUUUUUACACAGUGGGCCAUGUCUGGGUGGAUUGAGCCCAGCAAUCCUACAUGUGCUUUGUGGUGGAUCCCCAGAAGAAGCCCCAAUAGACAUUAAGGAUUGUGCUGACCUUGACAUCCGUGAGACUAUCAAAUUGCUGGAUGGUACCACAGAAUUAUCAUCUGAAGUCAAGAUGAUAAUCACUGAGCUGGCUCUGUCCUGGGAUUUGCCUCCUGUCACAUCACAGAACAGAAGAUGGCUGCUGGAGAAACUGCUGCUCCAUGCUAACCAGGUGCUAUAGAUCGCCGUUACAACCCCAUUUCGGUUAAAAAUACCAACUACUUCAAGCAGCAAAAGACGACCACGAAGGGACUCGAACCCUCAAUCUUCUGAUCCGAAGUCAGACGCCUUAUCCAUUAGGCCACGCGGUCAGAUCGACAUAAAACCUGCUGUGUACCCUAGAAAUGGUUUCAAUAUGAAGGAAUUCAGACUAUGCUUUAGAUUCUUCUGCGUGUGCAAAUGUCAUUUUAUACAUACCAUUAUGGAGCUUUAUAUUUUCCAAUAACCUAGCACUAGCCUGACCUUGCCUCGCCCCUUGCAUGUCGUAAAUUCUGCAAACUGGUCCUUGUGCUUUAAUCGGACAGAAUUGUGCAUGUUUGUCCUUUGUGCAUGUUUUUCACUAUCAACCUCUUCUUUGCACUGAAUAUUGGAAAAUACAAUUUCACUCAGUCAACAAGGGCUUCUACCUCUGAAAAUAAGAUUGCUAAAUACGGCCGGCAGUGUAUGAAUGAUUACAGGUGAGGAGGCGUGUCCAGUUUCGGCGUGUAGACAGAUAAUGUUAGGGCUAUAGCCUAAUACCUGUUCGGAGUCAACCGGAGAAGCGAACUUAACUUAAUGUUCAGUUACGUCUUCAUUUUUCAAUCCGUACUUUCUCUUCAAUAAGUCAAGCACGACUAAAACAUAGGUGGAACUAGCAACGUUUGGUGUUGUUUGGGCCAUCAGACUACAUGACAUUCACUUCUACAAGCCAAAUGCUACAAGACUGCAGACCAGCCUGUGUAUCACGUACCUUAGCCCGAGACACCUCCAGCCGCUCCCUAUGACACCGCGCUGCUCUAACGUCCCAUAGAAAUAAACCUGUUGAAAUUGUUGUUGAUCAAAGCUAAGAAAAAUAUUAGCUACUAAUUGUUGUACAGUUUUUUUUCUUCUGUGACUUCUGUAUAAUUAUUUCUUCUCGAUGAGGCUAUUUUAUUAGUAUUUAUUCCAGUCACGUGAUCACAGUGCGCGUAUCAUUGUAAAUUAAAAUGUUUGUAAAUUAAAAACUGCACACAGUUCCUCAGUUUCUUCUACCUCCCUAUUCAGUGUAAUCAUAAUUGUAAAUAAAUAAAACAACACAGGAUACAUUAAAUGCAUUGCUUUAUUAACAGUGUAGUAGGUCUUAGUUCAAUAAUGAUAUGAACUAAUACUAGACCAAUAAUGAUAUUAUAAUAAUGUGAACUGAAAGUGAGGAAAAUUAAUACAAAUUAAACAGGUUUAUUCUGACAGUAUGCUAAUGACAUUCAAAUACAGGCACUGAAAAGGUAAAAUAUAAUGAUAAACAUUCACACACUAAUAAAUAACCAGGUACAGUUUCAUAUUAGCUAUCCUACAUAUGGUGAGCCUUUAAACUUUUGCAAGUGCAGUAGGUAAGACAUUGCAGUACAGAAACCCUACGCAUCUUUAUAAAAUAACGUUAUAGUUUGGCAUUGUUUUUUCUAUAACAUAUAAUCCCCCCAGUAUGAAUCAUUCUAACAUACGUGAGCACUGACCUUAAAUGCAGGUUAUACACAACGGUUGCCCAGCAGAAUUAAACUGCUGCGACAGUAAAUUACACUUUACUUCACCUUUCUGUCAGUUCUGGGUUGCUGACAAUCUUCCAUCCUCCAUUCUUUUUAAACACAUCAGUCUACACAAUACAAAUGUAGGGUCCCUCUAGUGUCAGCUGUGCCACAUGAAAGGUUUAACACUUGGUUAUGUCUUAAAAUUUACUGAAGAAUCGGAUGUAAAAUAUUAGCUGUAAUAACAAUCAUUAUAACAAAGGUUUGAUACAUAGAAGGUUACCCAACAAAGCCAUAAGUAUUGUAUAUUUUGGGGAAAAGGUGCAAUAUAUUUGCAGGUUAGUAUUAUAGUUUGGUUUGUUAGACAAACCCUCAUACUGGUUACAGUUCUAUAAUCUGUCUGUCCAUGUACUGUAUAAUUAAA